CAGUCGGUUACAAAACAUCCUAAUGUAAAUUAAGAAAUAAAUCUAUUACUAUAACAUGGUAUCUUAACUUAGUAUCAUUCCUAAACAACUAGGUUCUAUCCCUAUGAGGAUAAGUAAAGUGUCAGGACGGCAGGUCCUGACAAAAAGGCAUGAAGUAUGUAUUGAGGAUAAAUACUCCAUGUAUUAGUUGAAUAACAUCUUGAGAGCAUGGCACUAUCCAUAAUAAGUUAAAUUAAUCAUGAAGAAGAGAUAUCUAGAUGGUAUCCAGAGAUUUUAACACCAAACUGGAAUUAUGAAUUAUGUACAUUAAUAACCGCAGCAGGAACUGACACUGACGGCAAAAGUAGAUAAUGAACACAAAUGGUAGUCAUGGUUGGGGAGCUAGA